rnacentral:rRNA from 2 species
AAUCCAUAGGUUAAUGAGGCGAACCGGGGGAACUGAAACAUCUAAGUACCCCGAGGAAAAGAAAUCAACCGAGAUUCCCCCAGUAGCGGCGAGCGAACGGGGAGGAGCCCAGAGCCUGAAUCAGCAUGUGUGUUAGUGGAAGCGUCUGGAAAGGCGCGCGAUACAGGGUGACAGCCCCGUACACAAAAGCGCAUGUGCUGUGAGCUCGAUGAGUAGGGCGGGACACGUGGUAUCCUGUCUGAAUAUGGGGGGACCAUCCUCCAAGGCUAAAUACUCCUGACUGACCGAUAGUGAACCAGUACCGUGAGGGAAAGGCGAAAAGAACCCCGGCGAGGGGAGUGAAAAAGAACCUGAAACCGUGUACGUACAAGCAGUGGGAGCCCCACCACCAAAGCAUUUGC